UACGAGGGGUGCAAGCGUUGCUCGGAAUUAUUGGGCGUAAAGGGUUGGUAGGUGGUCUUGUUUGUCUAGGGUGAAAUCCCAUGGCUUAACUGUGGAAGUGCCCUAGAAACGGCAAGACUAGAGUCCUAGAGGGGUUUGUGGAAUUCCCGGUGUAGCGGUGAAACGCGUAGAGAUCGGGAGGAACACCAGCGGCGAAGGCGGCAAACUGGAUAGGCACUGACACUCAACAACGAAAGCGUGGGGAGCAAACAGG
rnacentral:rRNA from 1 species